GUAUUUCACUGGGCUGCGACUAGAUACCAUGAUCAAAAAGGUGGUUCACACAGGGCAAGGCUUGGCCAUUGCACUCCGACUGUCUGACCCCUGCGAAUUCCCCAAAUGUGGGAAUCUCGACUGUAUAAUUUGUGGUAGUGGGGGACUGCGUUCGCGCUCUCCGCUG